rnacentral:rRNA from 1 species
AUUGAACGCUGGCGGCAUGCCUUACACAUGCAAGUCGAACGGUAACAGGUCUUCGGAUGCUGACGAGUGGCGAACGGGUGAGUAAUACAUCGGAACGUGCCUAGUAGUGGGGGAUAACUACUCGAAAGAGUGGCUAAUACCGCAUGAGAUCUACGGAUGAAAGCAGGGGAUCGAAAGACCUUGUGCUACUAGAGCGGCCGAUGGCAGAUUAGGUAGUUGGUGGGAUAAAAGCUUACCAAGCCGACGAUCUGUAGCUGGUCUGAGAGGUCGAUCAGCCACACUGGGACUGAGACACGGCCCAGACUCCUACGGGAGGCAGCAGUGGGGAAUUUUGGACAAUGGGCGCAAGCCUGAUCCAGCAAUGCCGCGUGCAAGAUGAAGGCCUUGGGUUGUAAACUGCUUUUGUACGGAACGAAAAGCCCCGGGUUAAUACCCUGGGGUCAUGACGGUACCGUAAGAAUAAGCACCGGCUAACUACGUGCCAGCAGCCGCAGUAA